UGACACACCCUCACUUGAUUGAACCGGUACCAAAGCCAAUGAAUUAUCAACAUCAACAUCACCAUCAUUAUGUGCCUCCUCAAGUAAAUCAUUUCCAGCAUUAUCAGGCAACACUAAGUGUGAAGGACUAUCUGUAGAAUUCUUGUUCAUGGAUUUUUGCGAAUAAAUUUGACAUUCUCGCUUGAAUUUAUCUUGGGUUGCUUCUCUUUGGAAUACGAUUUUGCCAUUACUAACGGCAUAGACUGAGAAACUCUUUGACAAAUUUCUGGCACAAUACUUGGCUAU
rnacentral:misc_RNA from 1 species